rnacentral:rRNA from 1 species
GAUGAACGCUGGCGGCGUGCCUAAUACAUGCAAGUCGAGCGAACAGACGAGGAGCUUGCUCCUCUGACGUUAGCGGCGGACGGGUGAGUAACACGUGGAGACCCUACCUAUAAGACUGGGAUAACUUCGUGAAACCGGAGCUAAUACCGGAUAAUAUAUUGAACCGUAUGGUUCAAUAGUGAAAGACGGGUUUGCUGUCACUUAUAGAUGGAUCCGCGCCGCAUGAGCUAGUUGGUAAGGUAACGGCUUACCAAGGCAACGAUGCGUAGCCGACCUGAGAGGAUGAUCGGCCACACUGGAGCGGGGGCACGCGCCCGAAUUCUACGGGAGGCAGCGGUAGGGAAUCUUCCGGAAUGGGCGGAAGCGUGAAGGAGCAACGCCGCGAGAGUGAUGAGGGUCUUCGGAUCGUAAAACUCUGUUAUUAGGGAAGAACAAAGGUCUAAGUAACUAUGCACGUCUUGACGGUACCUAAUGAGAAAGCCACGGCUAACUACGUG